rnacentral:lncRNA from 1 species
GCGGGCCGGACCCCACUGGCUUUACUCUGCGAAAAUGCGGUGGAAAAAGGCAACGCUGCAGUUCCAGGUGGCUUGGGGGCGUGGCCGGUGUUCCCCGAAAAGGAGUCGCUAGCCAAUUUGAGACCCCGGUUCCCCUGUCAGCCUCACACAGGGACGCACGUAGGGCCGCCGGAAAGCCGUCAGGUAGUCGGCUGACGAGUUUGGAAGCUCCUCAGAUUCGCCUCUUGUGAAGUCCGAGGGUGGUUAUAAACCCCAACUGUCACGACAAGUUUGUUUUUCCGACAAGAUUCCGACUCCGCCAGGCUGUAAACAAUGACUUUGCCUUAGAAGUGGCAGUUGCCUAGGAAGAACUUGGAAAAGCCGUUUGAGUUGAACUGCCAAGUCCGAGCGUUUGAAGCUCCUCAGAAGUUUACUUGAACUGUGGCCCAAACUGUAUCUUUUCCACAAGGGCUGGACAUGUUUCAGGAAUCUGGUGCUUCCUUGGAGAAUGUUUUCCUCGGCCUGAACUGGAAGCUGCUCUCCAUAUUCUGCAUUUCUUGUUCUCAUCCGUUGAAACUGACCUUGUCCCAGUCCCUGAGAGCCCACCGUGUGUGAAGCAAGCCCACCGUGGCGCAGUAGUCAAGGCCACACUCACUCUGCCCCUUCUGAUGCCAACUCGACGUCUCAUCAGGAAGUUCGCCGGGCGUUUUGGAACCUGAGGCCUCCGUUCUGUGUCUGCUCUGCAUUUCCUUCUUAAGCACCUACUAUUGGAUCUGUGCCACAACACCCUGUACACCACCUCAGGGAGAGGACUCACAUUUUCAAUUUACCUAGUAGAUGUUUUUUGAUCUAUCUCCCCCAUGAGGCUGGCAAACCUUAGGCCAGAAACAUUGUUGUUCCUUUGUCGGCACAGUCCCUGGCACUUAGAAGUAUGGUUGUGGAAAGAAGUUCCUUCAGUAGUCAGGAAGGAAAGCGUCUUCAUCGUGUGGAUUGUUUCCUUGACUGUGGAGAACAGGUCAGACAAGAAGAUGCAUUCAGAUAAAUUUUCAUGGGCUGAUCUGCUGAGUUCAGCCUAGGAGCUGAGGCCAACAUCUGAGUCUCCUCAGCACACAAGUUUGACAGAAGUCUUAGCGAUUUCAAGCCCAGGGCUACGGCGGUGGUGGCUUCUGCUUGGCUUCAAAGCCCCGCUCCCCUUCCAGGGAGAGACGAGGCAUGGCACCCACGAGCUAGCUGCUGGCCACCUCAACGUCUCAACUGACCUCCCCUAAAUAUGAUUCUCUGGCUUCUGCAGAGUCUAUGAUCUACUCAGCGCAUUUUUUUUAAAAUAAAAAAUACUAGUUUCUGCUUAAAAUAGUUUGA